rnacentral:tRNA from 1 species
GAAAAUCCGUCGGUUUUAGAAAUCGUGAGGGUUCAAGUCCCU